rnacentral:rRNA from 1 species
UACGGAGGGGGCUAGCGUUGUUCGGAAUUACUGGGCGUAAAGCGCACGUAGGCGGCUUUGCAAGUUAGAGGUGAAAGCCCGGGGCUCAACUCCGGAAUUGCCUUUAAAACUGCAUCGCUAGAAUUGUGGAGAGGUAAGUGGAAUUCCGAGUGUAGAGGUGAAAUUCGUAGAGAUGUGGAGGAACACCGAUGGCGAAGGCAGCCUUCUGGGCCAACACUGACGCUCAUGCACGAAAGCGUGGGGAGCAAACAGG